GGGUUGUGAGGUUAAGCGACUAAGCGUACACGGUGGAUGCCCUGGCAGUCAGAGGCGAUGAAGGACGUGCUAAUCUGCGAUAAGCGUCGGUAAGGUGAUAUGAACCGUUAUAACCGGCGAUUUCCGAAUGGGGAAACCCAGUGUGAUUCGUCACACUAUCAUUAACUGAAUCCAUAGGUUAAUGAGGCGAACCGGGGGAACUGAAACAUCUAAGUACCCCGAGGAAAAGAAAUCAACCGAGAUUCCCCCAGUAGCGGCGAGCGAACGGGGAGCAGCCCAGAGCCUGAAUCAGUGUGUGUGUUAGUGGAAGCGUCUGGAAAGGCGUGCGAUACAGGGUGACAGCCCCGUACACAAAAAUGCACAUACUGUGAGCUCGAUGAGUAGGGCGGGACACGUGGUAUCCUGUCUGAAUAUGGGGGGACCAUCCUCCAAGGCUAAAUACUCCUGACUGACCGAUAGUGAACCAGUACCGUGAGGGAAAGGCGAAAAGAACCCCGGCGAGGGGAGUGAAAAAGAACCUGAAACCGUGUACGUACAAGCAGUGGGAGCACGCUUAGGCGUGUGACUGCGUACCUUUUGUAUAAUGGGUCAGCGACUUAUAUUCUGUAGCAAGGUUAACCGAAUAGGGGAGCCGAAGGGAAACCGAGUCUUAACUGGGCGUUAAGUUGCAGGGUAUAGACCCGAAACCCGGUGAUCUAGCCAUGGGCAGGUUGAAGGUUGGGUAACACUAACUGGAGGACCGAACCGACUAAUGUUGAAAAAUUAGCGGAUGACUUGUGGCUGGGGGUGAAAGGCCAAUCAAACCGGGAGAUAGCUGGUUCUCCCCGAAAGCUAUUUAGGUAGCGCCUCGUGAAUUCAUCUCCGGGGGUAGAGCACUGUUUCGGCAAGGGGGUCAUCCCGACUUACCAACCCGAUGCAAACUGCGAAUACCGGAGAAUGUUAUCACGGGAGACACACGGCGGGUGCUAACGUCCGUCGUGAAGAGGGAAACAACCCAGACCGCCAGCUAAGGUCCCAAAGUCAUGGUUAAGUGGGAAACGAUGUGGGAAGGCCCAGACAGCCAGGAUGUUGGCUUAGAAGCAGCCAUCAUUUAAAGAAAGCGUAAUAGCUCACUGGUCGAGUCGGCCUGCGCGGAAGAUGUAACGGGGCUAAACCAUGCACCGAAGCUGCGGCAGCGACGCUUAUGCGUUGUUGGGUAGGGGAGCGUUCUGUAAGCCUGUGAAGGUGUGCUGUGAGGUAUGCUGGAGGUAUCAGAAGUGCGAAUGCUGACAUAAGUAACGAUAAAGCGGGUGAAAAGCCCGCUCGCCGGAAGACCAAGGGUUCCUGUCCAACGUUAAUCGGGGCAGGGUGAGUCGACCCCUAAGGCGAGGCCGAAAGGCGUAGUCGAUGGGAAACAGGUUAAUAUUCCUGUACUUGGUGUUACUGCGAAGGGGGGACGGAGAAGGCUAUGUUGGCCGGGCGACGGUUGUCCCGGUU
rnacentral:rRNA from 1 species